rnacentral:rRNA from 1 species
UACGGAGGGUCCAAGCGUUAUCCGGAAUCAUUGGGUUUAAAGGGUCCGUAGGCGGUUUUGUAAGUCAGUGGUGAAAGCCCAUCGCUCAACGGUGGAACGGCCAUUGAUACUGCAAGACUUGAAUUAUUAGGAAGUAACUAGAAUAUGUAGUGUAACGGUGAAAUGCUUAGAUAUUACAUGGAAUACCAAUUGCGAAGGCAGGUUACUACUAAUACAUUGACGCUGAUGGACGAAAGCGUGGGGAGCGAACAGG